rnacentral:rRNA from 1 species
UACGUAGGUGGCAAGCGUUAUCCGGAAUUAUUGGGCGUAAAGAGCGCGCAGGUGGUUUAUUAAGUCUGGUGUAAAAGGCAGUGGCUCAACCAUUGUAUGCAUUGGAAACUGGUAGACUUGAGUGCAGGAGAGGAGAGUGGAAUUCCAUGUGUAGCGGUGAAAUGCGUAGAUAUAUGGAGGAACACCGGUGGCGAAAGCGGCUCUCUGGCCUGUAACUGACGGUGAGGCGCGAAAGCGUGGGGAUCGAACAGG